rnacentral:rRNA from 1 species
UACAGAGGGGGCAAGCGUUAUUCGGAAUUAUUGGGCGUAAAGGGCGCGUAGGUGGCCAAUUAAGUCAGACGUGAAAUCCCCAGGCUCAACUUGGGAACUGCGUCUGAUACUGGUUGGCUUGAAUUCGGGAGAGGGAUGCAGAAUUCCAGGUGUAGCGGUGAAAUGCGUAGAUAUCUGGAGGAAUACCGGUGGCGAAGGCGGCAUCCUGGACCGGCAUUGACGCUGAGGAGCGAAAGCCAGGGGAGCAAACGGG